rnacentral:rRNA from 1 species
UACGUAGGUGACAAGCGUUGUCCGGAUUUACUGGGCGUAAAGAGCGCGCAGGCGGUCGAUCAAGUCGAGUGUGAAAGCCCCCGGCUCAACUGGGGAGGGUCAUUCGAUACUGAUCGACUCGAAGGCAGGAGAGGGUAGUGGAAUUCCCGGUGUAGUGGUGAAAUGCGUAGAUAUCGGGAGGAACACCGGUGGCGAAGGCGCACAUCUGGCCCGAUACUGACGCUGAGGCGCGAAGGCUAGGGGAGCAAACGGG